rnacentral:rRNA from 1 species
AACGAACGCUGGCGGCAUGCCUAACACAUGCAAGUCGAACGAAGCCUCCGGGCUUAGUGGCGCACGGGUGCGUAACGCGUGGGAAUCUGCCCUUGGGUUCGGAAUAACAGUUAGAAAUGACUGCUAAUACCGGAUGAUGUCUUCGGACCAAAGAUUUAUCGCCCAAGGAUGAGCCCGCGUAGGAUUAGGUAGUUGGUGGGGUAAUGGCCCACCAAGCCGACGAUCCUUAGCUGGUCCGAGAGGAUGAUCAGCCACACUGGGACUGAGACACGGCCCAGACUCCUACGGGAGGCAGCAGUGGGGAAUAUUGGACAAUGGGCGAAAGCCUGAUCCAGCAGUGCCGCGUGAGUGAUGAAGGCCUUAGGGUUGUAAAGCUCUUUUACCAGGGAUGAUAAUGACAGUACCUGGAGAAUAAGCUCCGGCUAACUCCGUGCCAGCCGCCGCGGUAAUAC